CCAACGGCCCUCUUUAGGGCCACAUAAAGUAAAUCAAACGAUUCA
rfam:Syphacia muris strain Valencia genome assembly, scaffold: SMTV_contig0000964